rnacentral:rRNA from 1 species
CGUGGGUAACCUGCCUUAUACAGGGGGAUAACAGUCAGAAAUGGCUGCUAAUACCGCAUAAGCGCACAGAGCUGCAUGGCUCAGUGUGAAAAGCCCUGGCAGUAUAGGAUGGUCCCGCGUCUGAUUAGCUGGUUGGUGAGGUAACGGCUCACCAAGGCGACGAUCCAUAGCCGGCCUGAGAGGGUAAACGGCCACAUUGGGACUGAGACACGGCCCAA